rnacentral:rRNA from 1 species
UACAGAGGGGGCAAGCGUUGUUCGGAAUUACUAGGCGUAAAGGGCGCGUAGGCGGCCUUCUAAGUCGAACGUGAAAUCCCCGGGCUCAACCCGGGAACUGCGUCCGAUACUGGAAGGCUUGAAUCCGGGAGAGGGAUGCGGAAUUCCAGGUGUAGCGGUGAAAUGCGUAGAUAUCUGGAGGAACACCGGUGGCGAAGGCGGCAUCCUGGACCGGCAUUGACGCUGAGGAGCGAAAGCCAGGGGAGCAAACGGG